AAAGGUUUAGUUUAAAAUAAAACAUAAAAUUGUCAAUUUUAAAAUACUUUUUGUAAUCUUUU
rnacentral:tRNA from 2 species